rnacentral:rRNA from 1 species
CCUACGGGAGGCAGCAGUGGGGAAUUUUGCGCAAUGGGGGAAACCCUGACGCAGCAACGCCGCGUGGAGGAUGAAGUAUCUUGGUACGUAAACUCCUUUCGAUGGGGAAGAUUAUGACGGUACCCAUAGAAGAAGCCCCGGCUAACUUCGUGCCAGCAGCCGCGGUAAU